GCUUACGGCCAUACCACCCUGAACAUGCCGAUCUCGUCCGAUUUCUCGAAGCUAAGCAGGGUCGGGCCUGGUUAGUACUUGGAUGGGAGAGCCGCCUGGGAAUACCAGGUGCUGUAAGCU
rnacentral:rRNA from 1 species